rnacentral:rRNA from 1 species
CCCCAGACUCCUACGGGAGGCAGCAGUGAGGAAUAUUGGUCAAUGGCCGAGAGGCUGAACCAGCCAAGUCGCGUGAGGGAGGACGGCCCUACGGGUUGUAAACCUCUUUUGUCAGGGAGCAAGGGACAGGUCGUGACCUGUUGUGAGAGUACCUGAAGAAAAAGCAUCGGCUAACUCCGUGCCAGCAGCCGCGGUAAUACGGAGGAUGCGAGCGUUAUCCGGAUUUAUUGGGUUUAAAGGGAGCGUAGAUGGGUUGUUAAGUCAGUUGUGAAAGUUUGCGGCUCAACCGUAAAAUUGCAAUUGAUACUGGCAGUCUUGAGUACAGUUGAGGUAGGCGGAAUUCGUGGUGUAGCGGUGAAAUGCUUAGAUAUCACGAAGAACCCCGAUUGCGAAGGCAGCUUACUAAACUGUGACUGACAUUGAUGCUCGAAAGUGUGGGUAUCAAACAGGAUUAGAUACCCCUGUA